GUCAGUUUCAGUUUAGACAUCACAUACAACAGAGCUGCAGGGCAGACGCGUGUGGCCUGUACGCCUUAUAUUUUUUUUGUUGCUAUUCAGAAGAAUAUAUAUAUUUACCAAUACGCGACGCGUCAAACAAGUGUUUGUGUGUGUAUUUUGUUGCUGUGCUUAUUCAAAUAUUAAUGCGCGCAAGUGCAUUUGAUAAUAGACAGCGUGCCUACCCUUCAGACAGCUCCACAAUUAUACUAAAUAUAUAACUACACACAAAUUAAGUGCGCUGCUGUUUCGCCAAAUUGGAAAAGGGUGCUAACGCUAUGUGGAGUCCAACACAUUGCAGUGUAACUGUUCAGCGUGCGCGAGGUCUUCUGACAAAAGGCAAGAAUGGCACCAACAACUGUUUCGUCACAAUUGCCCUGGGCAAGGAGAAGUACCAGACAUCAGUCAAGGACAAGGCGGAGGCAACCGUCAACUGGAACGAGGAGUGCGAACUCAAAAUUCCGGAUCAGGGCAAUCGGGCAGAGCUGACGCUGACUUGCUUGCACCGCAAUAAUCUGGGCAUCGAUGAAUUUCUCGGCCAGGCGACGCUGCCACUCAAGGACAUGGACGUCUAUGACAGGCCGCGCGCCAAGUGGUUAAAGCUGGAGAGCAAGCCGGGCAAGGAGAAGAAGAACAAGGAGCGCGGCGAACUGGAGGUGCGCAUCGCGUUCGUUGUCAAAUCCGGAUCGCUGACAGAUCUUAGCAAGAAGGACAAGCACAAGUCUUCCAUUGGGCAGCUGGCCAGUUCUGUGGGCGGCAGCCUGCUCUCCAUUGGCCAGGGUGAGAAGCGCAAGAGCAUCAAGAAGCUGGCUGGCUCGCUCAGCUCGAAGCUGCACAUACGCAGCAAGAAGAAGCAUGCCGAUGGCGAUGACAGCGGCUCGUUUAGCGGCUCCUUUGCCAGCAUCGGCACCCCGAACAGCUCCUCGGGCCUGGGCGGCAUUGGCGGCGGCAGCGGACGCAGGCGGGGCCAACGUGCCGGCGAAGCUGAUCCCGGUGUAAUAAGCGAGGACGAGGACGAGUUUGUGUUCGACAAUCUGUCCCACAAGAGCUCUGGCAGCUCGCUGAACAUCCAGCGCUCCGGCCUGCAGCCGCCUUCAUCUGGUGGUGGCGCCAACAAUUUCGCUCCGCGCAACCCGUCGCCGCUGCUGAGCAACGGAAACGGUGGUGGUGGUGGCCCGAAGGGAAAACUCAACGGAGGUAAGCCCAUAAUGCAAGAGACACUCGAUGAGGAUCCAAUCGUUGCGGAGAUGGAACAGCUUGAGCUCGAUUUCAGCGUUCGUGCGCGCACUCUGCCACCUCCCUCAAAGCCGCCGCGCACCCCGCAGACACAGCAAGAGCUGGAGUCGGAACGCGAACGUGAACGUGAACGUGAACGUGAACGGGAACGGGAAGGUGAUGGGCAAACACAAGUGGAGGCAUCUCCAAUCCAGGUGGAUGAGUGGGAAUCCAAGUUGUAUGGUGGCGGCAAGUAUUUAGAGAUUGGCAGCAGCGAUUCCUUGAAGCGUCGCAGCUGGGAGACGCGCGUACCGUUGCCGGCAACCAGCGAGGAGCCACCGCCGGUGCCAUCGGCAAGCUCCUCCUCUAGUUCCUCAGACACUGAGGAGGAAGAAGAAGAGGAAGAGGAGCCAGUGCCGGAGCAGCCGCUGCCGCCAAAGACAGCACCGCCACCGCCAUUGCCUUCCGAUGAUAGAAGCAGCAAGAGCGGCAACUCGCUCUUCUCGCCAGAUGUCGAGCCGCGUAACUUUGAUGCACUCAAUGCGAGCUUCGCCAAGUUUGAGCAACGCAACAGCACCGCAAUCUUUGCAGAUGAAGAGCUGACUCCUGAGCCGGUCGCGCCCAGAUCGCAUCCGAUGAGCGAGCCGCCACAGCCGUUACCAAGUGUAAGACCCACACCACAGCCGCGCGGCACAACAAGUGAGCAGCUGAAGGCCGAGACGGCGGCACUGGCUAAGGCAGAGGCUGCUGCCGAAGAGGAAGCUGCACGUCAGCGACGCGCAGAAGAAGAUGCGCGCCUGGAGGCCGAGCUGCGUCUGAACGAGCAGCGGCUGCGCGAAGAGGAGGCGGCGCUGCAACAGGAGCUGGAAUUACAGCAGGAGGAGCAGCGGCGGCGCGAUGCCAAGCGCCGUGAGGAGGAUCAAAGACUCUUGAGCUUUGCCAAGCGCUCCACCUCCCUGGAGGAGCCGCAAUCAAAAGCUCAGACCAUUGCCGAGGACCAAACCGUGGCCGUUGCCAUGGCCAUGGCCGUGGCUGUCGCCGAUGUAGAUCCAAGCAUAGAGCAUAACUUGUUAACGCCCGAGCAAUCGCCCAAGGAGUUCAGCAGCAUUGGCGGCGGCGUCGGCGGCGGCAUCGGCAGCGGCAGCGGCAGCGGUGAGCGCUGGGAGAAGCGACUGGGCAAAUUUAAAUACGGCAAUAAGCGAGACAAACAGAACGAUACGGAUAGCAACUCGCCCAGCCCCAAGUCCACGGAGCGCAUUAUUAUUGGACACGAAAAGUCUGGUUCGCAUGCGGAACGCCGCUCCGAGAUCUCCGCACAAUUGGCCAAAAAAUACGAGGGAAAGUCACGGGAGGAGCUGAUGCUGAUCGCCAAUGGCAUGGAGAAUGAGGCAUUGUUGCAACGCCAGCGCGUCAAAGAGCUGGAGGACUAUCUGGAUAAUUUGCUGUUGCGCGUAAUGGAAACGCAUCCCAAAAUCUUGCAGAAUCCCUAUUCGCGAACCACAUCGGCCAAAAGUUAUAAAAAUUACAUCAAUAUGAAUGACUUUUUAAAGUAAGUGCUGUGAAUUUUCGGCAUGCAGUUGCACGCACACUUAACAACAAGCAACAACAAAACUCAUAUGCACUCAAAAAACACAACAGCUAAAACCAAGAUCAGCCAACAGCCCCUGAGACCCCCGUUCAACAGCAGCAGCAGCAGCAGUAGCAGUAACAGCGGCAGCAGCAGCAACAACUACAACAUUAACAACAACAGCUAAAUUAACAAACAACAACAACAACAACAGCAGCAGCAACCGAAGCAAAGACGGUUAAGUGUGACAGCAGCCAAACUAUGUUCGCAGCAAGCAGCGCUUAUUGUCGGAGAAGCACAGAAGGGAGAAGCUGAGCCGCGGCGAACGUUCAAAAUGUAACAUGUAACAUAGAAACAAAAAGAACACCAAGUUGCCUUUGUCAUUAGAGAAAUUCAAGUGCUUUCUUAUUGUAUUUUUAGCAUUACAUUUACACACACUAUAACAACUCUUAGAAAUUAAGCUAUUAUAAAUAUAUAUAUAUAUAGUUUUUUUUUUUUUUUUUUUGCUAAACGAAUGACUACUAAACAAAAAGGCCCAACAAAUUUGUGGUUAACUUUUUCUGUGUGUAUUGUUUUACGUGUAACAUGAUAUUCGGUUUUUCAUUUGCCCUGUGUUAAUAUUUGAACGAAACUAAAUUCAAUUAAAUUAUAUGUAAAAUGUAAAUUAUUGUCAACAAUUUGCUAAACUGUUUUGCUAGACAAUUAGACAAUUGUAAAGUUUUGUUUCGAUUCAACUGAUUAAUUGAAAUUAUCCAAAAGUAUUUUUUAUUUGCAUUUUAAAAUGUGUCUUGUUUUAUGCGAAGAGUCCUGCAAUAUCGGCUACGAUUGCAACAAUUUAUAGUUAAGUAAAUCUUAAAUUAUUUAUGUAUUAGACAAUUAAGUGAAAAUUGAGCAAUAAGCGAGGAGAGAACUACAUUCAGUUAUACAUAUGUUGAUAAAUGAUUUUACUUAUUAAACAACAAAUAAAAACAA